AAAUUGAAGAGUUUGAUCAUGGCUCAGAUUGAACGCUGGCGGCAGGCCUAACACAUGCAAGUCGAACGGUAACAGGAAGCAGCUUGCUGUUUCGCUGACGAGUGGCGGACGGGUGAGUAAUGUCUGGGAAACUGCCUGAUGGAGGGGGAUAACUACUGGAAACGGUGGCUAAUACCGC
rnacentral:rRNA from 2 species